AACGGUAAUACUGCCUUUAUGAAUCCUGUACCAAAUGGCUUAUGAUUUAUGAUUCUCGAAUGUGGUGUUUUAUUUUAAUUAUGUAUUUUCAUUAUGUUAUCAUGUUUUGUGCUAUCAAAGAGAUUAAUAUUAUAUGAUAUGAAGGACCAUCAUGUUUAAUAUAUAUUUUAAUAAAUUGAAAUUAUCCAUGUCAAUAAAAGGGUAAGUGUCUCUG